CCCGGUGGCCCAAGCGGGGAGACAAUACCCGAUCCCAUCCCGAACUCGGCCGUCAAACUCCCCAGCGCCAAUGGUACUGUGUCUCAAGACCCGGGAGAGUAGGUCGUCGCCGGGCCCGCAAAUGACAGAUAACACUCCUCACGAUGAAAA
rnacentral:rRNA from 1 species